rnacentral:rRNA from 1 species
GAACAGACCUUUUAAUUUUUUUCUAUCGCAUUCCGUGCGAUAGAGAAAAAGACCGAUCUGCGACGCUAUAGCUUUGGGUACUUUCAGGACCCGUCUUGAAACACGGACCAAGGAGUCUAGCAUGUGCGCGAGUCAUUGGGAGUAGCACUAAACCUAAAGGCGUAAUGAAAGUGAAGAAACACGCGGUCUUCCUCGCGGAGGCCGCGCGUGAUCGGGAAGACGGACGUACGCGGAUAUAUUAAAACCGGUCGUCUCGCAUUCCCGGGGCGUCUCGUUCGCAUCGCGCGAAGAGGCGCACCAAGAGCGUACACGCUGGGACCCGAAAGAUGGUGAACUAUGCCUGGUCAGGACGAAGUCAGGGGAAACCCUGAUGGAGGUCCGUANCGAUUCU